rnacentral:tRNA from 1 species
UCAAAACGUAGUUUAAGAUAAAAAUUUUAGCUUUGGGAGUUAGAGAUGUUAUAUUAAUAACUGUUUUGAU